rnacentral:rRNA from 1 species
GUCGAGGGGCAGCACAAGGGUAGCAAUACUCUGGUGGCGACCGGCGUACGGGUGCGUAACACGUAUGCAACCUUCCUGUAGGUGUGGGAUAGCCUCCUGAAAGGGAGAUUAAUACCUCAUGAUAUGUAUUUGCUGCAUGGCAUUUACAUUAAACAUUUAUGGCUUACAGAUGGGCAUGCGUUCCAUUAGGCAGUUGGUGUGGUAACGGCUCACCAAACCUACGAUGGAUAGGGGUUCUGAGAGGAAGGUCCCCCACACUGGAACUGAGACACGGUCCAGACUCCUACGGGAGGCAGCAGUGAGGAAUAUUGGUCAAUGGGCGCGAGCCUGAACCAGCCACGUCGCGUGAAGGAUGACGGCCAUAUGGGUUGUAAACUUCUUUUACAGGGGAAUAAAGUGAGUCACGUGUGAUUUUUUGCAUGUACCCUGUGAAUAAGCAUCGGCUAACUCCGUGCCAGCAGCCGCGGUAAUACGGAGGAUGCGAGCGUUAUCCGGAUUUAUUGGGUUUAAAGGGUGCGUAGGCGGGAUAUUAAGUCAGCGGUGAAAGUUUUCGGCUCAACCUUAAAAUUGCCGUUGAAACUGUUAUUCUUGAGUGCAGUAGAGGUAGGCGGAAUUCGUUGUGUAGCGGUGAAAUGCGUAGAUAUAACGAGGAACUCCGAUUGCGUA